rnacentral:rRNA from 1 species
GUCCACGCCGUAAACGAUGGAUACUAGCUGUUCGUAGCAAUCUGAGUGGCUAAGCGAAAGUGAUAAGUAUCCCACCUGGGGAGUACGUUCGCAAGAAUGAAACUCAAAGGAAUUGACGGGGGCCCGCACAAGCGGUGGAGCAUGUGGUUUAAUUCGAUGAUACGCGAGGAACCUUACCAAGGCUUAAAUGUAGAUUGACCGGUUUUGAAACAGACUUUUCGCAAGACAAUUUACAAGGUGCUGCAUGGUUGUCGU